AAGAAGUUACUUCAGAACAGAACAAAUUGUACACCAGCAGUAUAAAACACACAACUACAAGUGACUUCAGAACAUAACAAAUUGUACAUAAGCAAUAUAAAACACACAACUACAAAUUACUUCAGAACAUAACAGAUUGUACAUAAGCAGUAUAAAACAAACAACUACAAAUUACUUCAGAACAGAAACAAAUUGUACAUCAGCAGUAUAAAACACACAACUACAAGUUACUUCAGAACAGAACAAAUUGUACAUAAGCAGUAUAAAACACACAACUACAAAUUACUUCAGAACAUAACAAAUUGUACACCAAGCAGUAUAAAACACACAACUACAAGUUACUUCAGAACAAAACAAAUUGUACACCAGCAGUAUAAAACACACAACUACAAGUUACUUCAGAACAUAACAGAUUGUACACCAAGCAGUAUAAAACACACAACUACAAAGUUACUUCAGAACAGAACAGAUUGUACACCAGCAGUAUAAAACACACAACUACAAGUUACUUCAGAACAUAACAGAUUGUACACCAGCAGUAUAAAACACACAACUACAAGUUACUUCAGAACAUAACAGAUUGUACACCAGCAGUAAAAAACACACAACUACAAGUUACUUCAGAACAUAACAAAUUGUACAUAAGAAAUAUAAAACACACAACUACAAAUUACUUCAGAACAUAACAGAUUGUACACCAGCAGUAUAAAACACACAACUACAAAUUACUUCAGAACAUAACAAUUGUACAUAAGCAGUAUAAACACACAACUACAAGUUACUUCAGAACAUACACAAAUUGUACAUAAGCAGUAUAAAAUAUACAACUACAAGUUACUUCAGAACAUAACAGAUUGUACACCAGCAGUAUAAAACACAUAACUACAAGUUACUUCAGAACAUAACAGAUUGUACAUU
rnacentral:lncRNA from 1 species